ACGCUGGCGGCAGGCCUAACACAUGCAAGUCGAGCGGAUGAAGGGAGCUUGCUCCUGGAUUCAGCGGCGGACGGGUGAGUAAUGCCUAGGAAUCUGCCUGGUAGUGGGGGAUAACGUCCGGAAACGGGCGCUAAUACCGCAUACGUCCUGAGGGAGAAAGUGGGGGAUCUUCGGACCUCACGCUAUCAGAUGAGCCUAGGUCGGAUUAGCUAGUUGGUGGGGUAAAGGCCUACCAAGGCGACGAUCCGUAACUGGUCUGAGAGGAUGAUCAGUCACACUGGAACUGAGACACGGUCCAGACUCCUACGGGAGGCAGCAGUGGGGAAUAUUGGACAAUGGGCGAAAGCCUGAUCCAGCCAUGCCGCGUGUGUGAAGAAGGUCUUCGGAUUGUAAAGCACUUUAAGUUGGGAGGAAGGGCAGUAAGUUAAUACCUUGCUGUUUUGACGUUACCAACAGAAUAAGCACCGGCUAACUUCGUGCCAGCAGCCGCGGUAAUACGAAGGGUGCAAGCGUUAAUCGGAAUUACUGGGCGUAAAGCGCGCGUAGGUGGUUCAGCAAGUUGGAUGUGAAAUCCCCGGGCUCAACCUGGGAACUGCAUCCAAAACUACUGAGCUAGAGUACGGUAGAGGGUGGUGGAAUUUCCUGUGUAGCGGUGAAAUGCGUAGAUAUAGGAAGGAACACCAGUGGCGAAGGCGACCACCUGGACUGAUACUGACACUGAGGUGCGAAAGCGUGGGGAGCAAACAGGAUUAGAUACCCUGGUAGUCCACGCCGUAAACGAUGUCGACUAGCCGUUGGGAUCCUUGAGAUCUUAGUGGCGCAGCUAACGCGAUAAGUCGACCGCCUGGGGAGUACGGCCGC
rnacentral:rRNA from 1 species